UACAGAGGUCUCAAGCGUUGUUCGGAUUCAUUGGGCGUAAAGGGUGUGUAGGUGGCGCCGUAAGUCGGGUGUGAAAUUUCGGAGCUUAACUCCGAAACUGCAUUCGAUACUGCGGUGCUUGAGGACUGGAGAGGAGACUGGAAUUCAUGGUGUAGCAGUGAAAUGCGUAGAGAUCAUGAGGAAGACCAGUGGCGAAGGCGGGUCUCUGGACAGUUCCUGGCACUGAGGCACGAAGGCCAGGGGAGCAAACGGG
rnacentral:rRNA from 1 species